UAUGUUCCGUAUUGUCAAUUGUGACGUACUAUUCAACUGACAGCAAUAGUGUGAUUAUUAGAAUAAUCAAACCGCUCAUGUAGCGAGAACCGAAAGCCAGGGGAGGAGAGUGGGCGACUGUACGUAGAAAUAUAUGCGCAAGCGUCUUUGAAAAACAUAAUGUGAGUUACAGGCUAACUGCUAUGGAAGGUUGAGUGGACAUGUCACCUGUGCACCAGAUAGUCAAUAGCAGCUGUCCCUGUGGUGACACGGGCUGGAGAACAUCCUGCUGAGGCUGCAGACAGGUCUGAGGGACAACCAGACCUCACAGGACAAACACUCACAGCCAAGGUGAGCACUACAAUAGGCCAGGGUAACAGGACAGGAAGGUGAAUAUCUUAAGGGAGGGGGAAAAAGUGGGCGGAACCCUUUUUGGUGCUAGGCUUUGAAAAUGGUUCUACCUAGAACCCUGUAUGUAGGGUUCUUCAUAUAAGCCUCUGUAUAUGGUUCUAUGAAGGGUUUUACUGAGAACCAUUUGAUCUUUGGAGUGUUCUUCCUAGAACCAUCUCUGAACGUUUCCACCAGCCUUAUUAUCCUUUAACAUUUUAUUUCUUUGACAAUAUUUACAUGUAACAAGUGCAAUAAAUCCAACUACUAACAGAUUGGAUUAGUUUAGAAAAGUGUGUUCUUUGUGUAGCAUAAGAUGUAUCAACUAAUCAGUGUACAUGUAAGAAUAGAUUAAAACAAACCAUUCUGAAAGUCACCUUGCAAUAGAGCAUGCUGGUGAUAUGGUUCUAUGUAGAACCCUUUUUGCCUUUCAAAGAACCCUUUCUUCCAGAAAGUGUGCUUCAGAUUAAAAUGGCUCAUUUUGCUAUUAUGCUGUUUUGCCAAGUACUACUGUAUAAUUGUCAUGCCUUGUUACCAUGGUAAUUGGCUAUCUGGCACAAAUACAGGAGAUUCGUAUUCACACCCCUUGACUUUUUCCACAUUUCGUUGUUACAGCCUUGUUCGAAUAUUGAUUAAAUAGUUUUUUCCCUCAUCAAUCUACACAAUGACAAAGCAAAAACUAUUUUUUAUAAAUUUGUGCAAAAAAUUGUGUUUACAUAAGUAUACAGACCCUUUACUCAGUAUUUUGUUGAAUCACCUUUGUCAGCGAUUACAGCCUCGAUCUUUCUUGUGUAUAACGCUACAAGCUUGGCACACCUGUAUUUGGGCAGUUUCUUGCAUCCUUCUCUGCAGAUCCUCACAAGCUGUCUGGUUGGAUGGGAAGUGUUGCUGCACAUCUAUUUUCAGGUCUCUCGGAGAUGUUUGAUUAGGUUCAAGUCCAGGCUCUGGCUGGUCCACUCAAGGACAUUGAGACUUGUCCCGAAGCCACUCCUGCGUUGUCUUGGCUGUGUGCAUAGGUCGUUGUUCUGUUGGAAGGUGAACCUUCGCCCCAGUUGGGAGGUCAUGAGUGCUCUGGAGCAGGUUUUCAUCAACAAGCUUGUUUCUCAUUGUCUGAGUCCUUUAGAUGCCUUUUGGCAAACCCCAAGUGGGCUGUCAUGUGGUUCUUACUGAGGAGUGACUUUCGCCUGGCCACUCUACCAUAAAGGCCUGAUUAGUGGAGUGCUGCAGAGAUGUUUGUCCUUCAGUAAUGCUCUCCCAUCUCCGCAGAGGGACUCUGAAGCUCUGCCAGUGACCAUCGGGUUCUUGGUCACCUCCCUGACCAAGGCCCCUCCCCCCGAUUCCGCAGUUUGGCCCGGGUGGACAGCUCUAGUAAUAGUAUUGGUGGUUUAAAACAUCUUCCAUUUAAGAAUGCUGGAGGCCACUGUGUUCUUGGGGAUCUUCAAUGCUGCAGACAUUUUUUUGGUACCCUUCCCCAGAUCUGUUCCUCGACACAAUCCCGUCUCUGAGCUCUACAGACAACUCCUUCGACCUGAUUGCUUGGUUUUUGCUCUGACAUGCACUGUCAACUGUGGGACCUUAUAUAGACAGGUGUGUGCCUUUCCAAAUAAUGUCCAGUCAAUUACAUUUACCACAGGUGGACUCCCAUCAGGUUGUAGAAACAUCUCGUGGAUGAUCAAUGGAAUAGCUAAAUUGAGGAUCAUAAAAAAGGGUCUGAAUACUUAUAUAAAUACUUAAUCUGUUUAAUUUUUUUAUACAUUUGAAAAAAAUUCUGAUCCUGUUUUUGCUUUGUCAUUAUGGGGUAGUGUUUGUGUGGAUUAUUUUCUCUCAAUUUAAUCCAUUUUAGAACAAGGCUGUACCAUAACAAUGUGGGUAAGGGGUCUGAAUCAUUUCUAACUGCACAGUGUAUAUUAAUGUAAUGAAAUUGUAUCGGUCACAUACACAUAUCUAGCAGAUUUUGUUGCAAAAUGCUUGUGUUACUACUGCACUGUUGGAGCUAGGAUCUAAAAAUGAUUCACAACGAUGCACAAUCUAAAAAUAGAAGAAUGGCAUUAAGAAAUAUAUAAAUAUUAGAUCGAGAAAUGUCGGCGUGGCAUCGACUAAAAUUCAUUAGAAUAGAAUACAGUAUAUACAUGAGAUGAGUAAAGCAGUAUGUAAACAUUAUUCAAGUGACAAGUGAUUCUAUGUAUAUAAGGGGUGUUCCCUUUAUUCCAUACAUUCCUGCAUGUUGAUUCAUGGCCUUGGAAAUGUAAAUACUAAAAUAAUGUUUGGCUUUUAAAUUCUUUCUGUUCUGAGGCCUAAUGGAAUGGAUGAACAGCCAUGUAAAUGUCAAUUAUUAUUAAAUGCCUUACUCUUAUCAUGUCUUUCCAAAUCCAUUUUGAUUACAAUAUCCCUGAGAUGAAUGUUGUAUAAUGUUACAUUUUCCUUACGGCAAUGUAACUUGCACUUUGUUUUCAGGUUUGAAUGACAGUGUAUUCCCCUAAACUUAUUUCAAUAAAGUCAUUACUUGUUUAUAUGUAAGACCAGUUACCAUUUGUAAUUUGUUUUGGUGCAGAUGUGUUAAAUAUACAACCCAUAUAAGUGUCUGUUCAUGGAACAAUACAUCAGCCACUUAAACAGCUGUAAAUUAUUUUCUACCACAUUUUUAUUCAAGAGCAUAUACCAUAUACACAUCUUUGCUGUGUAAUUACAUUCACAUGUUAAGGGUACAUUUUUGCUGUAUAGAGCAAAUAUUUCAAGAGUCUUAAUAAGAAUACAAUUUGGAUAGAGCCACAGAAAAACAACAAAUUACAGAAUAAGACCAGUACGAUAUAUCAAGAACUCUGACCAGACACCUUCAAAUCAAAUGUUAUUGGUCACAUACACAUUGUUAGCAGAUGUUAUUGCGAGUGUAGCGAAAUGCUUCUAGUUCUGACAGUGCAGUAAUAUCUAACAAUUCCACAACUACCUAAUACACACAUCUAAGUAAUGGAAUAUAUGGAUGAGCAAUGACUGAGCGGUGUAGGUAAGAUGCAAUAAAUUGUAUAAAAUACAGUUGAGAUAUGUGAACAUAAGUGGCCAAUUAUGUCAUGUAUGUAGGCAGCAGCCCCUGUGUUAGUGAUGGCUGUUUAACAGUGAUUGUCUUGAGAUAGCUCUUUUUCAAUCUCUCUGUCCCAGCUUUGAUGCACCUGUACUGACCUUGCCUUCUGGAUGGUGUGUGAUUGUUGCAAGAUUGAUGUAAUUCUCUCCAUGUCAGCAAGUUCCCUGCAUAGACCUAACCACGUCUUUUGAGGGUGCAUGUUAAUUUUUCCAGCAUUUUGUUCCACAUUUCAUUGCUGCUGCUUAAAGAAUCUAUCAAUUUAAAUGGAGUGUAUCUACAGGAACAAUACCUAGAAGGAGAUGGCAUGGGUCUGGUUGAAUAACACAUGGAGAACUUCACACCAAAAUAUGCAAGUAUCCCUGGCUGCAAUGUGGACUGAGUCAAAUGUUUGACCCCGCCCACCUUUUUGUCCAUCUGAUAUGACAGUUGCACACGUUGAAUUCAAGCUUAUUUAAUAUUUGAAGAGCGUAAGAAAUAUUAUAAAGUGGUACCAGCAGAUGUGUUAACACGUUUUGCUUCAUGCUAUGAGACAAGCUACUGAUGUUGUUGUGAACAGACUUAAGUAUGUCAUGUACUGUUAACAUUUAUCAACAAUUUAUAUUAUAUUCCAUUGUUCAUAUACAGUUACUACCUAUCCUGAUUUAUAAUGCUAUUUACUUUCCUCAUGAGAAUGGAGACAGACUAUACCGACAAGCUGAAUGUGCUUUGUACACUAAGUUAUACCAGCUCUAGUAAAGAGAUCAGAGACUCGGGUGA